rnacentral:misc_RNA from 1 species
CUUGUUGUGCAUUCUCCUGUGGAUGAUCCCACUAUUUCACCACUGACAGUCCAAUCAGCUCCUUUGUUGCUACAUGUUCCUGCCACCCCCUCUCUAAUUACGCGCGUCCAGAGUGCGAUUCCAAAAAGAAGUUUUUUUGCUGAAUUGGGAAUUCCGUUAUUUUGAGGUUUCUGAUUUGUGAAUCAGCGUCUCUCUUACACCCAUUCUCGGUAACAUGGCUUCCAAGGACGAUUACGCGGCUUAUGAAUCACUGUCGAAGAUUAAGGAUGGCUUACAUGGCCAAGGGCCGGGUAGUGAACCAAAGGUUGCGGGCAGCUCCGUUGGUGAACAGCUUGAAGAUGAGGACAACAAAAAAGAAAUUAAUUGCAACAUGGACGAUGAGUAUCACUUAUUGGAAGAUAUUGACCCCUUGGCGUGGCAUUAUGAUUCCGAAAAUGAGGACCAUGUGAAAUUGUUAGAAGAUUUCAUAUGCCAGUACAAAGAAAGCGAUGGUUUUGAUUUCAUCCCUUUACCCGGGCGGCC